rnacentral:tRNA from 1 species
AGUUAAUGAACUUGUAAAGUAUAUGUUUUGAAAACAUAAAAAAGAAUUAAAAUAUUCUAUUAACUU